AAUGCUAAAAGAAUGGAAGUUUAAGAAAAAACUUUUUUAAAAAUAAAAAUUAAAUUUUUUUUAAUUUGUGCAAAACCAAUUAUUUAUAUUAAAGACAAGAAGACCCUAUGAAUUUAUGAUUAAAUAAACUAAAAAUUUUUAGUUUAUUUAAUCUUGAUUGGGGCAAUCAAAAAAUAUUAACAACUUUUUUAAAUUUAAAUGAUCUAUUAUUAAUAAUCUAAUGGAAUAAAUACUCUAGGGAUAACAGCGUA
rnacentral:rRNA from 1 species